rnacentral:rRNA from 1 species
GGGUUGUGAGGUUAAGCGACUAAGCGUACACGGUGGAUGCCCUGGCAGUCAGAGGCGAUGAAGGACGUGCUAAUCUGCGAUAAGCGCCGGUAAGGUGAUAUGAACCGUUAUAACCGGCGAUUUCCGAAUGGGGAAACCCAGUGUGACUCGUCACACUAUCAUUAACUGAAUCCAUAGGUUAAUGAGGCGAACCGGGGGAACUGAAACAUCUAAGUACCCCGAGGAAAAGAAAUCAACCGAGAUUCCCCCAGUAGCGGCGAGCGAACGGGGAGGAGCCCAGAGCCUGAAUCAGCAUGUGUGUUAGUGGAAGCGUCUGGAAAGGCGCGCGAUACAGGGUGACAGCCCCGUACACAAAAGCGCAUGUGCUGUGAGCUCGAUGAGUAGGGCGGGACACGUGGUAUCCUGUCUGAAUAUGGGGGGACCAUCCUCCAAGGCUAAAUACUCCUGACUGACCGAUAGUGAACCAGUACCGUGAGGGAAAGGCGAAAAGAACCCCGGCGAGGGGAGUGAAAAAGAACCUGAAACCGUGUACGUACAAGCAGUGGGAGCACCCUUUGGGGUGUGACUGCGUACCUUUUGUAUAAUGGGUCAGCGACUUAUAUUCUGUAGCAAGGUUAACCGAAUAGGGGAGCCGGAGGGAAACCGAGUCUUAACCGGGCGUUAAGUUGCAGGGUAUAGACCCGAAACCCGGUGAUCUAGCCAUGGGCAGGUUGAAGGUUGGGUAACACUAACUGGAGGACCGAACCGACUAAUGUUGAAAAAUUAGCGGAUGACCUGUGGCUGGGGGUGAAAGGCCAAUCAAACCGGGAGAUAGCUGGUUCUCCCCGAAAGCUAUUUAGGUAGCGCCU